rnacentral:rRNA from 1 species
GGAACACCAAAGGCGAAGGCAGCUUACUGGGCCUAUACUGACGCUGAGGAACGAAAGCGUGGGGAGCAAACAGGAUUAGAGACCCUGGUAGUCCACGCCGUAAACGAUGAGUACUUGGUGGCGGGGGAUUCGACCCCUUCGCUGUCGGAGUUAACGCAUUAAGUACUCCGCCUGGGGACUACGACCGCAAGGUUGAAACUCAAAGGAAUUGACGGGGACCCGCACAAGCGGUGGAUUAUGUGGUUUAAUUCGAUGCAACGCGAAGAACCUUACCUGGACUUGACAUGUUAGUGAAACUCCGGUGAAAGCCGGAGCCUCCGCGAGCUUGCUCAAGGACACUAUCACAGGUGAUGCAUGGCUGUCGUCAGCUCGUGUCGUGAGAUGUUCGGUUAAGUCCGAUAACGAGCGCAACCCCUAUCCUUAGUUGCCAGCACGUAAUGGUGGGGACUCUAGGGAAACUGCCCGGGAUAACCGGAAGGAAGGUGGGGUCGACGUCAAGUCAGUAUGUCCCUUACGUUCAGGGCUACACACGUAAUACAAUGGGGAGUACAGAGGGUAGCAAUACUGCGAAGUGGAGCCAAUCCCAAAAAACUUCCCCAAGUUCGGAUUGCAGUCUGCAACUCGACUGCAUGAAGCAGGAAUCGCUAGUAAUCGCGCAUCAGCAUGGCGCGGUGAAUACGUUCCCGGGUCUUGUACACACCGCCCGUCACGCCAUGGAAGCCGGUAGCACCCAAUGUCAGUGUCCUAACCUUCGGGGAGGAGCUGCUUAAGGUGAGAUUGGUAACUGGGGCGAAGUCGUAACAAGGUAGCCGUACCGGAAGGUGCGGCUG